rnacentral:rRNA from 1 species
GACGAACCGUGCGAACGUUGUUCGGAAUCACUGGGCUUAAAGGGCGCGUAGGCGGGCCACCAAGUCGGGGGUGAAAUCUUUCAGCUCAACUGGAAAAGAGCUUUCGAUACUGGUGGCCUCGAGGGAGGUAGGGGUCGAUGGAACUGGUGGUGGAGCGGUGAAAUGCGUAGAUAUCGCUAGGAACGCCGGUGGCGAAAGCGAUCGACUGGACCUCUUCUGACGCUGAGGCGCGAAAGCCAGGGGAGCAAACGGG